rnacentral:rRNA from 1 species
CGUAGGGUGCGAGCGUUAAUCGGAAUUACUGGGCGUAAAGCGUGCGCAGGCGGUUUUUUAAGACAGGCGUGAAAUCCCCGGGCUCAACCUGGGAACUGCGCUUGUGACUGGAAGGCUAGAGUACGGUAGAGGGGGAUGGAAUUCCGCGUGUAGCAGUGAAAUGCGUAGAUAUGCGGAGGAACACCGAUGGCGAAGGCAAUCCCCUGGACCUGUACUGACGCUCAUGCACGAAAGCGUGGGGAGCAAACAGGAUUAGAUACCCUGGUAGUCCACGCCCUAAACGAUGUCAACUGGUUGUUGGGUCUUUACUGACUCAGUAACGAAGCUAACGCGUGAAGUUGACCGCCUGGGGAGUACGGCCGCAAGGUUG